rnacentral:rRNA from 1 species
AGCCCGCUCGCCGGAAGACCAAGGGUUCCUGUCCAACGUUAAUCGGGGCAGGGUGAGUCGACCCCUAAGGCGAGGCCGAAAGGCGUAGUCGAUGGGAAACAGGUUAAUAUUCCUGUACUUGGUGUUACUGCGAAGGGGGGACGGAGAAGGCUAUGUUGGCCGGGCGACGGUUGUCCCGGUUUAAGCGUGUAGGCUGGUUUUCCAGGCAAAUCCGGAAAACCAAGGCUGAGGCGUGAUGACGAGGCACUACGGUGCUGAAGUGACAAAUGCCCUGCUUCCAGGAAAAGCCUCUAAGCAUCAGGUAACAUCAAAUCGUACCCCAAACCGACACAGGUGGUCAGGUAGAGAAUACCAAGGCGCUUGAGAGAACUCGGGUGAAGGAACUAGGCAAAAUGGUGCCGUAACUUCGGGAGAAGGCACGCUGAUAUGUAGGUGAAGCGACUUGCUCGUGGAGCUGAAAUCAGUCGAAGAUACCAGCUGGCUGCAACUGUUUAUUAAAAACACAGCACUGUGCAAACACGAAAGUGGACGUAUACGGUGUGACGCCUGCCCGGUGCCGGAAGGUUAAUUGAUGGGGUUAGCGGUAACGCGAAGCUCUUGAUCGAAGCCCCGGUAAACGGCGGCCGUAACUAUAACGGUCCUAAGGUAGCGAAAUUCCUUGUCGGGUAAGUUCCGACCUGCACGAAUGGCGUAAUGAUGGCCAGGCUGUCUCCACCCGAGACUCAGUGAAAUUGAACUCGCUGUGAAGAUGCAGUGUACCCGCGGCAAGACGGAAAGACCCCGUGAACCUUUACUAUAGCUUGACACUGAACAUUGAGCCUUGAUGUGUAGGAUAGGUGGGAGGCUUUGAAGUGUGGACGCCAGUCUGCAUGGAGCCGACCUUGAAAUACCACCCUUUAAUGUUUGAUGUUCUAACGUUGGCCCCUAAUCGGGGUUGCGGACAGUGUCUGGUGGGUAGUUUGACUGGGGCGGUCUCCUCCUAAAGAGUAACGGAGGAGCACGAAGGUUGGCUAAUCCUGGUCGGACAUCAGGAGGUUAGUGCAAUGGCAUAAGCCAGCUUGACUGCGAGCGUGACGGCGCGAGCAGGUGCGAAAGCAGGUCAUAGUGAUCCGGUGGUUCUGAAUGGAAGGGCCAUCGCUCAACGGAUAAAAGGUACUCCGGGGAUAACAGGCUGAUACCGCCCAAGAGUUCAUAUCGACGGCGGUGUUUGGCACCUCGAUGUCGGCUCAUCACAUCCUGGGGCUGAAGUAGGUCCCAAGGGUAUGGCUGUUCGCCAUUUAAAGUGGUACGCGAGCUGGGUUUAGAACGUCGUGAGACAGUUCGGUCCCUAUCUGCCGUGGGCGCUGGAGAACUGAGGGGGGCUGCUCCUAGUACGAGAGGACCGGAGUGGACGCAUCACUGGUGUUCGGGUUGUCAUGCCAAUGGCACUGCCCGGUAGCUAAAUGCGGAAGAGAUAAGUGCUGAAAGCAUCUAAGCACGAAACUUGCCCCGAGAUGAGUUCUCCCUGAGACUUAGAGUCUCCUGAAGGAACGUUGAAGACGACGACGUUGAUAGGCCGGGUGUGUAAGCGCAGCGAUGCGUUGAGCUAACCGGUACUAAUGAACCGUGAGGCUUAACCUU